rnacentral:rRNA from 1 species
GACGAACGCUGGCGGCGCGCUUAACACAUGCAAGUCGAGCGAGAACCAGGGCUUCGGCCCUGGGGAAAGCGGCGAACGGGUGAGUAACACGUGAGUAACCUGUCCUCGGCACCGGGAUAGCCCGGGGAAACCCGGAUUAAUACCGGAUGGCCUUUCGAGUCCUCGGACUCGUCAGAAAAGGGAGCUUCGGCCUCCGGCCGAGGAGGGACUCGCGGCGGAUUAGCUUGUUGGUGAGGUAACGGCUCACCAAGGCGACGAUCCGUAGCUGGUCUGAGAGGACGAUCAGCCACACUGGGACUGAGACACGGCCCAGACUCCUACGGGAGGCAGCAGUGGGGAAUCUUGCGCAAUGGGCGAAAGCCUGACGCAGCGACGCCGCGUGCGGGAAGAAGGCCU